ACUAGACUCUCCAAAUUGGAAAGAUAACAUAUUAAAAACACGGUUUAUGUUAGGUUGUCGCCAUUGCCAGCACGAGGUUUCCAUUUCAGGGAACAUUUGAACCCAUCUCUUCCAUUUUUCUUCUUUUCUUUUUCCAAUUUCCGGGUUCCCACAAUCCGGUUCUUAGUCUGGAGAUUAGCGAGUCAACUCUAGUAGUGGUCUGGUUCAAGUUCAAGAGAAGAUUUUGAGAUUUUGGGAAGCUACCAAGGCUGUAAUUGUUACAUCGGGAGAGAGAAAUUCAAAGAAAUUAGUGAUUUAUUGAAGACAUACCCGAAUAUAGGCUUCAGACCUGAACGGCUGCUUAGACUUGACCCGAUUUUAUUCAGUCCUUAAUGCGCCCGAUUCACUUCUGCCCGUUUGACCUGCGUUUUGCCCACCCAACCUAGCUGGCUUCCUAUGUUCUCUUGCGCGCGACCCACUUCAACGUUCGGCCCUUCUCACGUGCGCGUUUGGCCUAGCCCGCGCGCCUAUCCGGAUCGUCCUGCGCCCUGUUCCGUCUGAUGACCCGCAUACCGACCCGGGUUUGACCCAUUGCACCCAACUUGCAUGCCUGAUGGUCUGGCUUGGUAGUUUUGGGCCGGUUCAUGGGUUUUAGGUUGGUUAAGUGUUGUUUCAGAGGAUUUCCAACCGGUUCAAGUUGUUCAAGAGCGGUUUAUGUACUCCAUCAAAUUAUUGUUAUAAUAAUUUAAUUUGUAACUUAAUUUAGGGGUUAAA